AUCAAACAGCCUGGACUCCAUUAUUUUCCAACUUUUCAUUUCAUAAGCGCCAGGCUUUUCAGGUGAUAGUAGUUUCCAAGAAAUCUUCUGCUUUAGCUAUCUUUUGCCAUUUCAUUUCAUCUUCAUCAACUCUCUUCAAUCAAGAUUUCAUGGCCAUCUCCCUCCAAGAUUCAGUUCUUCUCUCGUCUCCCCCACCAGCCCAUGCUUAUGCCUAACUUGGUUGCCUCUAAACAUGCUAAUGCUUCUACUACAAACGGAGAGGAAACGUUGGAGUGAAGAGUAGACUUUGAGACUCUGAUUUCCCCAUUCUGACCCCGGGCUACUAUUCCUGACGCUGAUAUGGAGUUAUUGAUAUCAAAGACUGCAUCAAACUAUAUAGACUCCCGUAGCUCUACCUCUUUUUGUCCGAAUCUAACGGGCGUAGAGAUAACCCAUAAGGCACAACAAAAUACUCGGAUCUGCUCCU